ACCAUAUUUGGAUGGCGUAUGCAGCUCAAAACCUCAAUCUGAAGAAUUUUGAAUGUUAAAGGUGAGUUUUUUAAAAUUUCAGGAUGAUGCAGUGACUAAAUACUAUAAGCAGACUAGGCAAUCAAAAUAAACAUGGAAUCCAAAAAAGUCGAAUUGAAUAUAAAAGCAAAUAGGUAACCAAGUGUGAGAAGAAUUAUGAGUGGUUAAGCACAAAAUACUGCUUCAUUGUCCAAAACACAAGGGAAUUCCUGUCUAUAACAUUGUCCAUUCUCCACAUGAGCUUUCGACAAAUAAGCUAUCUUGAUAAAAGAGCUUAGUUUCGAUAAGAACCACUGAUGAGAAAAGAUUUAAAAUCCAAUUUCUGAAUAUAAGGGAUAAGUCUUUUUAGUCAUAGUGACUGAAUCAAGAUUGUGUUUAUUAGAUAAAACAUAAUAAGAUAAUAAAUAUAGCAGCGUAAGAAACAUAUCUCUGAGGUCACAACUGACAUUUCUACAUAGAACCACCAAGAUGGGAUAUUUUAGCAAAGCUGCAUUCAAGUUCCAGAAAUGAAAGCAGAUACAACAGAUAAACUACAGCAAUAAGAUCACAUAUACCAGUUGCAGUUGAAGAUUUAUCAAACCUGCAAGUGGUUAGCUAGUAUUUAACACUUGCUGAUACCAAUGGAUUUUAUAAAGACUGGAUUUUCUUAUUUCCUGCUUCGCUGCACCUAUAUUAAUGCAGCCUCUUGGUUUGAUGCUCUUUUUUAUUCAACUAAGAUAUCAAAACUUUGGUAAUGUGGCCUUUUGGUUUGAUGUACUUUUUUAUUUCAUUAAGACAUCAAAACUUUGAUGUGCAAAUCAUAUAUAAAAAAACAACUGAAGAUUGAGACUAGGCUAUAGAUAUAAGAUGGGAAAAGAUUUGAGAAAAAGAAAUAUAGCAUGAUAUUUCUGCAUACCUCUUGAUGAAAUUGUUUCAUUCCUUGAGUUGGAUCAGAUCGAAGAAUCUUAAUUGCAACAACAGUAUGAUCAAGGUUACAUUUGUAAACAGGUCCAUAUCCUCCCUCCCCAAUCUUUAAGGCAUCCAAAAAGUUAUCUGUCGCCUUCUGAAUCUCUUCAACAGUAUAUCUCCUAUAACGAAUGUUUGAAUGAAAACAAUCUGAAAAAUUCCUUUGAAGCAACGCCUUAGAGUUCUGCUCCUUUUCUGCCAUAUGUGGUCUCAUAUCUCCGGCCAACCUUGUCUCUUCCAUUCUCAGCGCUCCAUCAGCCUUGCCAUAAUUUGCCUGUAUUUGCAAAAAGACUAUUUCAUAUUGACUGCAGAAAACAAAUUCAUAAAUUGGAGGCAACAGAAACUUUGUGGGAGAGGAAAAAGAAGAGUGAGCAUUCAUCAGUGGGAAAUAAAAUGUGAACAUCUAUAAACUUUUAUUUGCUUCUAUAGAGUAUAAAAUGCCAUACAAGUAUGUUAAAAGUUAUAUUUAGUCGAGCCUCAAUGAAAGAAAAAUUAAUUUCUGUAUAGACGAAUUACAAGGCUUGGGAAAAUAUUGCUUCUGUAUACCAUAUGCGUAUCAUUUACCCCCAACCAAGUGGUGUUGCAUCAUCUAUGAGUUAAGAUUUUUUACACAAAUAAUAAGUUUCACAUAUUGUUUUGCAUUAUAUACCUCUUUACAAGUAUCUUCUGACAUAUCCUUCAUCUGCCUUGGCUCAAACUUCAGUCGUCUCAUCUUAGCUUUGAUGUCUUCCUGAAAAAUAUUGAUAUAAAAGAGUUUAAUGAAAAAUAGUGGUGAAUGCAGGCAUAAUCCAAAUGAAGGAACAAGAAAAUCAGCAUGACAAUUCCAAGCAAUUAGACAAUAUCUAAGGAAUCAUGCAGAGAGAGCUUCCCAGAGUAUUGUUUGUUCCUAACAUUUCUAGUGCUGCACUUUCUACAAGGACCAUAUUAUCUAAAGAGGUACGUAUAGACGGCAAGUGCUUAAUUCUUUGUCUAAAAGAAAAUGAUGUUGAAGGAUAAGUGGAACUACCAAGUUAUCAAUACCUUACACUAUGGGACAAAACCCUAAGAAAGUAGCAACCUGAUCUACUUGGAUCUCAUCCGGCCAGCAUCCAAAACUACUAAAACUCAUUGCCGCCAUAAGAUUUUGAGUGACAUUCUAUUAGCAUUUGCUUGUUCCACCCUGCCAUUACAUUCAAGCAAUGCAAUGUCACUAAAUACCCACCCAUUAAAAUUCCACCAACAGAAUUAUAUAGGAUUGGCAUGAGAAAUGUCAUCAAACACCCCCUC
rnacentral:lncRNA from 1 species